CCUGCGUCGGAAUGGCACUUCCGAAAAUGGGCUGUAGCGCAGCGUGACCAUGCUGUGCGAGGACGACCUAACGUCCUCUCUAUGAGCCGACCGGCUCCCUGAGCACCACGUCCCCGGAAGGGACGUGGUGCUUGGGUC
rfam:Burkholderia vietnamiensis G4 plasmid pBVIE02, complete sequence.